GCCUUGAUGGUGAAAUGGUAGACACGCGAGACUCAAAAUCUCGUGCGAAAGAGCAUGGAGGUUCGAGUCCUCUUCAGGGCA
rnacentral:tRNA from 1 species